rnacentral:lncRNA from 1 species
GGCAAUCAGAGCAUGAGGACAUAGAUUGAGAGGUCUUGGGAGAACUUUGUAAGAGAUUCAGAGAUCCACAGUAGCUGACGUUGUGGAAAAGUUUGACAUAUUAAAGCAAAAGAGUUUCUUGAUGGAAUACCAGGAGAGAAUUGAAGAGUUAAAAUUAGUGACGUUAAGAAAAAACUCACUUCAACGAGCCUUAUUUAAUAUCUUCCUUUAUUAGUAACUUAAAUGAAGAGCUACGGUCUAUGAUUAAGCUUUUCAGACCACAAGCCUUAGACAUGGCAUAUGAACAAGUUAAACUCCAAUCUCAAUGCACUAAAUCCAUGUUACGGGACCAAAAGAACCAGAACAGACUUCCCGCUCAGUUCCAAACUACCCUACGAUAACUAAACACUUCUGCAAGGAACCAACC